rnacentral:rRNA from 1 species
UACGAAGGGGGCGAGCGUUGUUCGGAUUUACUGGGCGUAAAGGGCGCGCAGGCGGCGGAUCAAGUCAGACGUGAAAGCCCCGGGCUUAACCUGGGAACUGCGUUUGAUACGUGCGGACUUGAGUGCGGAAGAGGGUCGUGGAAUUCCCAGUGUAGAGGUGAAAUUCGUAGAUAUUGGGAAGAACACCGGUGGCGAAGGCGGCGACCUGGUCCGAUACUGACGCUGAGGCGCGAAAGCGUGGGGAGCAAACAGG